rnacentral:rRNA from 1 species
AUUGAACGCUGGCGGCAGGCCUAACACAUGCAAGUCGAGCGAGCGGCGGACGGGUGAGUAAUGUAUGGGGAACUGCCCGAUAGAGGGGGAUAACUACUGGAAACGGUGGCUAAUACCGCAUACUAUCGGAUGAACCCAUAUGGGAUUAGCUAGUAGGUGGGGUAAAGGCUCACCUAGGCGACGAUCCCUAGCUGGUCUGAGAGGAUGACCAGCCACACUGGGACUGAGACACGGCCCAGACUCCUACGGGAGGCAGCAGUGGGGAAUAUUGCACAAUGGGCGCAAGCCUGAUGCAGCCAUGCCGCGUGUGUGAAGAAGGCCUUCGGGUUGUAAAGUACUUUCAGCGAGGAGGCGUUACUCGCAGAAGAAGCACCGGCUAACUCCGUGCCAGCAGCCGCGGUAAUUC